UGGGAUUUUCCAGGCAAGAAUACUGGAGUGGGUUGCCAUUUCCUUCUCCAGAGGAUCUUCUUGACCCAGGGAUCGAACCUGUGUCUCCUGUAUUGACAAAUGCAUUCUUCACCACUCAGCCACCUGGGAUGCCCAGAUAGUAGGAACCCUGGACACUAAAAAGGCAAGGUCUUGAUCCAUUUAAAUCCUAGAACUGAAGACAUACCUACUUGUAGUAAAGAAAUGGGAAGGGCAGGCUGGGGAGGAAGUUGAAAACUUCCCUGCUAAGCCCUGAGGGGAGGGCAAGGUACAGUGCAGUUGUGGAGGAGGGGAAGGCAGGGCAAGGCCCAGCCAGAAGGGGACUGGUCGCUCCUCUUGUGGGUGGGUCUGGAGCAGGCUCUCAGGGGUUGGGCUUCUGAGUGUCCGCAUCCCACUCCCAAGUCCCAUUUCCUUGGUCCCUGAUGCACACCAUGGUCAGGAAUAUACGCAAAGGCACACGCACUCAGUGUAUGUCCCAUCCCUUCAGUGAAUGUUUAUGUUGACAAACACCACAGAGCAUGCAGGGCCACCCUCACUGGGACCACACAGAGGACAGGCCAAGAAGCCCCACAUCACAGUGUCCUCCUGAUGCCUGGGCUGGGCUGGAGCUCACAAAAGGUACUUUGAUUUCUUCCGCAGACUCUCUGACAGAUGCUAGAACUGACUUGUCAUUUUUGUCUGAAAGAGCAAAGAAAGUAUUUGUCAGUGUGAAUGACCCUAGGGACAAGGGAGCCUCCAAACUCCUGGACUUUGAGUCACUAUGCAGAAACCAGGGGCUGGACCCUGCCUAGGAUCCUCAGUCCUUCCCAGCUGCAGUCUGCCAAGGUCAGCCGAGUGUGUGGGGCCAAGAGCUGCCAAUUAUUCAUUUAAUGUAUGCCACGCAGUGUGCCAGGCACUUCUAUGCAGUAUCUCAUUUAAUCCUCAUAACAGCCUUAAGAAUUAGAUGAGAAAACAAGCUUAGAGUGGCUUGCCAAGGUCACAUGGCUGAUUAGUGUUAGAGCCAGGGCCUUGUGCCCAUGUGCUUACAACCAGAAUUAAGUUGUCAGGGAUCUCUCUAGCUGUGGAAUGAGAGCUGGAUGUCUCCCACGGUGCCUUCCCUGGCCUGGUUCUGUUCCACAGUUCAGCAGCCACUGUGAAGGCAUCAUCUCAGUGCCAGGCACUUAGCUGAGUACUUGAGAGACAGCAACAGGACAUGGUCCUUUCCCCAGAGACAGACAUCUGUAACAGGACAGUUACAGUCUGUAACCAUGGAGACUGUGGACACCAAUACAUGCCAUGGAAACUUCAGAGAGUGGCAGAGGAGGAGGCUGGAGAGGUAGGUGGUGGGGGGUGAGUUUAAAGGAUCAUGACAAAGCUAGGAGGCUUAACGCAA
ensembl:lncRNA